GAAUAGGAAGAGAGUAGAGUAGAAAAAGUUGGAAGAAUUCCGGAGCUGUCGGUGUUACAAUUUCAUCUAAAAAGCAUCACGACCAGGAAUGCAUUUGUCAGGUGCUCGGAAAACAAACAAAAGGAAAGAAGAAUAAUUUAUUGAUUUGCAAAAGGAAACGAGAAGUUCUUUUGUAUGAGAGACAUUGAACAUUUGUGGCCUUCUAUUUAAGGGCCCUGUCCAGUUCAGAAGACGGCAUCAACAACACAGGCAUAAAAAAGCCUGUGGCUUCAGCCGUCAAGAAACCACAAGCCGCACCUAAGACAAAGAAGGUGUGGCAAGUUUAGAAAACGACACCCACUUUCUCACCUCCAGAGCAGGGUGCCGCAUCAUCAAGCUAAAACGAUGGAGGUACGGUCAUGCUCGUCGGACUAAAAACGAUGUCGCCCUCGCCAAUAGGUAAAUUGAUAUGUAUCCCAUAUUUAUUUCCAUCAAUUUAAUUUAUGAAUCAUAUCAUGUUUUUUUCCAUUGCAUUAAAAAAAUUAAAUUUGAAUUUUGGAAUUAAACUUCAAGACAAAUUUAUAAAAUGAAUUUCUGAGCAAAAAUAAAAUAAAUGUGUUGGUCAACUUCAAUGUGGCUCUCACAAAUUUAGCCGUUGGGAGCCAAUGGCUAAAUGUUGGGCUGGUUGGGCCCACCAAGGGGUUCGGCCGAGCAACGAUCGGCUGCCAAAUGUUUUGGGGGCAACGGCUAGUGGGCCCCACUUUACAGUUAUAGCCGUUGUGUGUGCAUUACAUAAAGGGUUUGGCAGGUGAGGGGAGUUCAACUCACGUUCAACACAUUUUCACUCCCUCUCACAUUCCCUCUUGCUCUUAAAUUCAUCUCAAACCUUGAAGUGUGGAUCUCAAGUUUAUACCCCGCACUUUGAUUUCAUUUCUUACAUAUAAAAGUCGCUUUGGUGCAAGGCUAACCGGCGGGUAGUAUUAUUCUUGAUUAGCUUAACCCCUGCCCUAGUUUGCCUUGUGUUCUUGCUCUUUCUGCAGGCAUGAAGAGACGAAUCAUGCGCUUGUUCAAGAAGGGAUCGAGCACCCAAUUAAGUCGUCACCAAGACGAGUCGAGUGCUCGUUCAUCCAUUGAUGUUUUGAUGGAGGAUGCAGAUGUUCCGCCAAGACUUCUUCACGACUCUGACCUGGACCUCGCGUGUGACCGAGAAAUACAAGCCUACCGUAUGCUCAAGGAUCGGUCGUUUGCUCACACCCGAGCAUAUGACCCUGAACUUCUUCAAAAGAUAGGUAUGGAUGUUGAUUUCCGCAAGUUUGGAAUGCUGUAGGAUGGGAGAACUGUGCUGUGGUAGAUGAGCCUGGUUCUCAUUUGCUUACUUUGCAGUUUCUUUGUACCUUGCAGAGGUAGACAAGGGCAUUUCUUUUCGGUUUUUCCGUAAGGAGUAUCAUCUUUCUUGGAAAGAAUCAAGUCUACUUUUGGGUUUUCACCAAAAUUGCAAAAUCAAUUUUCGGAAGGCAACUUCCAAUUUUGAGAGAAACAAAUUUUGGUAAGAUAUUUCGAUUGCGUCAUUCUGCAGAAAGCCUAGAACAAAUGAUAUCCAUAAUCCUACUCUUAGGCUUAUGCAUAAAUGGCUUGGCAUGAUUUUAUUCCCUAGAGCUGAUCUUAGACUCAUUCGUGAAGAUGAAUUGAUUAUCUUGUUUUCCAUGGUUAGAAAAAUUAAAGUCUCUCAUGUGCAAUGCAUGAUCCGUCAAUGGUUAGAGAAUAUCAAGUUUUCUGGUCCUAGUGAAUGCACUUCUUUAGUUACUCGCAUAGCAAAUAGACUUGGGGUUAUACAGGGUGAUCAAAUUGCCUAUAUUUCCACAGUUCGUUCUUAUGUUGAUGAAGCUUAUUUAGUGCAAGGGCAUACACAUAAGCAUGAGCCAGAUAAUACACUUGUAUUUUUCUUUCUUGGUUGUACAAAUAUGAUCUCGUUACCUAACCCGGGGUAUCAUUUGUACAACUGCGAUGAGCUAACCAUUCCUCUGCAGAUGAUAGAGGAAUUUCAUGCAGGUGCUUCUCACAGGGCGACACGAAACAUGGCAGGAGAAGAAGUCGAGGAAUCAACAUCUUCACCACUAGUGCAGAUGUAUGAGGUUGAUUGGGCCCUAAUUGGAGAUGCUCCCGAUUGGACCCAAGUACCGCAACGUGACGCCGGUGGAACUUGCCUCAUGACACACACUGGGGGUACUCCCGUUCUUCAAGUUCCAGUGGCGUCCCUCCAUCCUCAUGGAUGCGUCACUCGGUCUCCUCUCGUGGGGAUUUGGGUGAGCUCACUCGGAGGGUGUGCGCUCUUGUGCUGCAAGCCGGAGAGAUACAACAUGCGCUUGAAGAUCACAUCAUGCAGACUCAAGAGUGGCAGCAGAAUAUUGAUGCACGACUUUCCAAUUUGGACAACAUGAUGUAUCAACAGCAGGCUGACUUGCAGGCCUACUUUCGCCAUUAGGGGUUCAAUCCUCACCCCGGACCUUGAGCAAAAAGCAAGCUUGGGGGAGAGGCCUCUCCCCCGCUAAGGUGACUUGUAUUUUUUUCUUUCACAUUGCAUUUCCCUUUCGCAUUGAAUUUAUAAUUAGAAAAUAACAAAAAAAAUUGCAACACAUAAAAAGAACAAAAAUAUAUGUUAGAAAUUUAUUGUGCUAGGUAAGACUGCUUAGUUCUUUAUGUUGAAAUGAUGAAUAGUUUUUAUGUUUUAUAUCUCUUAUGCAUUGGUUCAUAGUUAAGUACACUCUCAAGUUUUAAGUCGGGAAAGCCAAAUAUUAUCCGGGAACCUGGGAGAUGUGAGCUGCACAUUGCAUGAUCUAAGUCUAAGUUGUUGUGAGAUAUGAUAUGGUAAAAUAGAGUUACUAUAAUAUUGUUCUAAAUUUGACUGGAAUUCUGGACGUUUUAUUUUUCAAAAUGAUAAAUAUUGAAAGUUCCUCAUUUGAUACAAAUUCCUACCAGAGACAAAAUACUGAUAUUCAUUAUAAACCUUAUACUUUGGUUACUUGUUAUUCCAUUGAACUUUGUCGAAAUUCUUGUCACGUUUGUCAGAUGCUUCUCACACUAUAUGAUCAAGAUCACACACCUCCACAUAUAUGCACACAUAUGCUACGUCUAGUACACUGAAAGUUAGCAUCCACUACAUCCAUCAUAAUUAUAUUUUCUAUUUUCAUCCAUCACUACUGCCAAAUAAAUACUCCAUGUCAUAUAUAUCCUUUACUCACCAAAAAUCUCAAAAGAAAGAGAGGUAUGACUAUACUAAAGAAAAAAAAGAGAGAAAAAGAAAAUCUUCCUCAUACAAAAUGUGGGGCACGAUGAAAAAAAGGGGGAGAGAAGAAAAGAGCUAGCCAUACUCUCUCAAAGCUUGCAAAAAUAAAGGAGGAGAAGGUAUAUAAAAAGGAGUAAAGUUUAGUUUUAUAUUUCUCCAGCAAAUAGGUCUUAGUUCCACCACAAAUAGGAUUUGCUAUCUUCUUUGGUCCAGCGUUUUGACUUAGUAAUAAAUGUGAAUGCAAUAUUCCUACCAAACUCUACAUAUUUGACCUUUAGAAUAUGGACAAAAAGAUAAUAUUUUGAUGAGGAAUAUACAAAGACACUUUUGAGUGAUCGAGAGAAUCAUUUGAGGAACUUAGUUUUAUUUGCAAAAUCAUUUGAAAACCUCCGGAAUAAAGGUUAGAUAAGGAAUAAGCGAUUGGUGUUGUACUAACUGUUCUGUCUCUCAACCGCUCAAGACAGGGAGAAGCAUGUGUCCCAUGGGUGUCGGGCGUAUGGGUAAGCCAACAUGCGAACUCGCUUAACUCGAGAGAGAUUACUCAUACUUUGCACCUGUACCUUUGAGAUACAGUACGGUAGCAAUUAUGCAUCGAACGAUCGAUGACCGCCGAGUGGCAGAAUUAUGGAUGGAUGGGCUUACAAAACCAAUUUAACACAUGCAAAUAAGCCUAACUACCAUGCCACAGAGUAUAAGGCGCAACAAGGAAGUUCCCGACCAAAACUGGGGGCCAGAGGGGCCGGCCCAAGUUCGGCCAAACCAGGGGUUCGGUCAGGGUUUGAGGAGGAAUAGGAGGGGACUUUUGAAAAACAAAAUAAAUCUCCUUAUUUAAAGGGAACAGAGUGUGUGAUAGCUUUUGUGAGUAUCCAAGGGUUACUUCUUUAUGUUCUGAAAGGGCUAGGUAUGACUUUUCUAGUCAUUUCUGAUAGGGUACGUACUGUAAAAUCAAAGUGUUUUUUAUUCUUAUUUUGUUAUGAACAAUUGGCAUAUGAGAUUAUUGGUUUUGAUAUUUGGAGAUUAUUGGCAAAGCGGUUUUGGAGAUGAUUGGAUUUUACAGGUGAUAUACAGGUGUUGCUGGAUAGUUGGUCUGGUCAGACCGAGCAGGUGUUGCCGGUCAGACCGAUGUGUAUCGAGCGGUCAGACCGGCCAGCCCGCGAUCUGACCGGCCGACUCUGUGUCGGUUUCGGUUUCAAGUUGUUUUGUUGGAUAUCCGUGAUAGUUUUAUGUUUAUGGCUUCUAGAUAGAUACUAUACGUAUGUAAUACUGUUGUUUGCUAACAAUGAGUCAAGUUGGAGAUAGCUUGUUCUCGGAAUAUGGUUUCUUUGUUUGGUUCAUGUUUAGGUGGAGAGUAUUGCCGGUGAUGGAUCGGGAGUCGACUUGGAGAUAAGGCGACGUCGGACGGUCAGAUAUCAUGCGGGAUACUUAGGCUAAUGUUCAAUGCACGUGGUUGGUGAAGAUUUCAUAUAGCAUAAGAUUUCAUAUUGUGUGCGUAUGGGAUGCGGAGUCGAAUUUGCAAGGAGACCAAAUUUGGUACGAUUGGAGUUUGUAAAGUUUGUUUCUUGUACGGGAUGGUUUCCUAGGUGGAUUAGGACUUCUUAUGUGAGUUUGGUUCGUGGCUUUAGGCUGCCUACCUCAUGUAUAAAUAGAGGAAGGGUGUGGCCUCCCGGUAUCGCAUUAGAGAGCAUUGAGAUGAGAGAAUAGUUAGUCGAAAUUUUCGUGAGGAGUGCUAUUGUUGCACUUUGUAAACACAGAGAGAAGUACUAAAGUUGUCAUCUACAUCAAGAUUUCUUCAA